rnacentral:rRNA from 1 species
UACGUAGGGUGCGAGCGUUAAUCGGAAUUACUGGGCGUAAAGCGUGCGCAGGCGGCUCUGUAAGACGGAUGUGAAAUCCCCGGGCUCAACCUGGGAACUGCAUUCGUGACUGCAGGGCUCGAGUCUGUCAGAGGGGGGUGGAAUUCCACGUGUAGCAGUGAAAUGCGUAGAGAUGUGGAGGAACACCGAUGGCGAAGGCAGCCCCCUGGGACAAAACUGACGCUCAUGCACGAAAGCGUGGGGAG